rnacentral:rRNA from 1 species
UACGUAGGGACCAAGCGUUGUUCGGAUUUACUGGGCGGAAAGGGCGCGUAGGCGGCAAUUCAAGUCAUCUGUGAAAUCUCCGGGCUUAACUCGGAACGGUCAGAUGAUACUGCUUUGCUAGAGUGCGGAAGGGGCAAUCGGAAUUCUUGGUGUAGCGGUGAAAUGCGUAGAUAUCAAGAGGAACACCUGAGGUGAAGACGGGUUGCUGGGCCGACACUGACGCUGAUGCGCGAAAGCCAGGGGAGCAAACGGG